CGCUGGCGGCGUGCCUAACACAUGCAAGUCGAACGGUUCUAAGCGCGAGCUUAGGAUAGUGGCGAACGGGUGAGUAAAAGGUAGGAAUCUACCCCCUUGGACGGAGAUAGCUACUGGAAACGGUAGGUAAACUUCGAUAAGCCCGAGAGGGGAAAGUGGUGAGACAGCCGAGGGAUGAGCCUACUCUCCAUCAGGUAGUUGGUGAGAUAAAAGCUUACCAAGCCGAUGACGGAUAACCGGUGUGAGAGCAUGAACGGUCACAAGGGCACUGAGAGACGGGCCCUA
rnacentral:rRNA from 1 species